rnacentral:lncRNA from 1 species
UGGCACAUGUGUUGUUUGGUGUGUUAGCCUGCGGAUUCCAACAGCUGCAGAUAGGUGAGUGGAUGGGGCACAGCGGUAGGAAUAGUUCAGCUCUCAGGAGACAGGACAGAGGAUCAGUUCCCAUCUGUGAUUUGGUCUUAUCAAGAAGCAUGCUUUUAGGUGGGACAUACCGAGAUAGGCUUUCAGCAUAGGAGAGCGGGGACUGGAUUCACCCCUUUGAAUCUGUGUACAGGACGGGAUGAUGCAAGGGAGGAGUGGGAGGGCCAAGCCUGGAAUCUGGAGCCCACUUAGCAGCAAACCAAAGGAAAAGGAGGCAGGCAUUACAACAGAGGUCAAGUCCGAGGACUGGCUAGUCUGGCUGGUGGUGGGGACUUGGGGGGCAGGGCUGGGGAGGUGUCAUCGUUGAGUGAAAUGUGAUUCUCAGGAAAACUUGCAUGGACGGGGUCAGCUGGCUUCCUACCUGGGAAAAAACGAACUUAAGAUAACUACUGUGUUCAUAGACUCAUGAAAUCUGACUGUGCUUAGUAACUACCGCUCGCUGUCCCGAUUUUUAACAUCCUCUGUGAAGUGUCCAAAUUCCCACUGACAAAAAACAAAACUGUUUUGCUGAUGACUGUCACCUCUGUAAUAUAUCACACCCACUCUGCCUAUUGGCUUGGGGUCCCUGCUGACAGGUAAGUACCACUUGGCAUCCUUGUACCAUUUUUUCCACAGUUUCCCAUUUCUUCUUUUCCUUUUUCCCACGGUCAGCUCCCAGAUCUAUGAAAGCUGAGGGUGUUCAGAAGCAAUGUCCACUCAGCCCAGGGUGAGGUCACAGAAAGGAGGGUGACUCACGUUGGACUCAGAAUGUAAACAAAUGGCCUUAGACCUUGGUGGUGAUGACGGAGUAAAUGGGGUGGGGGGGGGUUGGUGAAUGAGGGGAGAGUCGCCUUUCCAGGAAGUUGGUUACAAAAAGAGUCCUGUUGAGGAAAGACGAGAAAAAAAGGAAAAGAGGAAAGCCCACUUACUGAUACAGGAAAUCAGGAAUGUCAAAAGUCUAGUUAAAGCCAAG